GUGCCAGCAGCCGCGGUAAUACGAAGGGGGCUAGCGUUGCUCGGAAUCACUGGGCGUAAAGGGCGCGUAGGCGGCCGAUUAAGUCGGGGGUGAAAGCCUGUGGCUCAACCACAGAAUUGCCUUCGAUACUGGUUGGCUUGAGACCGGAAGAGGACAGCGGAACUGCGAGUGUAGAGGUGAAAUUCGUAGAUAUUCGCAAGAACACCAGUGGCGAAGGCGGCUGUCUGGUCCGGUUCUGACGCUGAGGCGCGAAAGCGUGGGGAGCAAACAGGAUUAGAUACCCCAGUAGUCC
rnacentral:rRNA from 1 species